UUCGUAGAUUGGCUAUGCUUUUAAAUGAUGCUUGUAACCUUUUUGAAGAAAUAAAGCUUGUGAAGAUGUGGUUUGUGGAAAUGAUAUGGUAUCUUGAGUUUGAGAUGUUCUUGGAGUGCGGAUUUUCCCUGACACAUUUUUUUUUUUUCUUUUAUAUUGUUGGUUGCUACCAUUUUCUCUUUCUUCACCAUUAGACAUGGUAGCAACAAAGCCCAAUGGAGAAGGAAUCUUCAAACUUACAGUGGGAGAGAUGUGCAACAGGUAAUAGAUUUAUUUUAAUUUGAAAUCUUGUUUCAAUUUUGAUUUAUAUGUGGAUUACAUUGGGUUUUUAGAUUUUCAGUAAUUGGGAUUUUGUAUACAAGGUUGGUUAUUUUGUGUACAAUGUGUGUCAGUCAUUUAGUUUGUGCUUCCACAAAAAUUGGACACAUGCCAUGAUGGUUUGUGAUCUGAAUUUUUGGUGAGGAAAUUUGGUUGACAGUCAUGGUCUGCUACAGUGGUUGAGGCCACAUGCACACACAUGUUGAAGGUGAUACUUUUGUCCUUCUGUAUUAUAUGUAUGCAACUGAUGCUUCAUGUGGAAAUCUGGCCCCUUUCAAGUGUAUAACUGAAUGCAAUUUGGGGUCCAUGUUGAUGUUUGGGUGGUGCUUUUACGAUGACUUUUACUGGCGGUCACAAAACCGUUGGAGGUAAGUUCACAAGAGUCUGCUUGUAUCUUUAAAUUCAGGUUCCAUUUUUUUAAUGUCUGCUAGUUCCAUAAAAUGGUGUUUGAUCAUUGCACACAAUUGAUAGCUUAGACAUGCCAAUUUUUGGGUGGGUCAUUAGUUUGCAUUUAGAUUUGAUAAAAAUCAUCUAAACAAUGGAAAGGAUCCUCUUGAGCUUAUUUUUAAAAUAGAAGCCUCUCCAUAUAAAAUGGACAAUCCAGAUCUUUUAAAUAGAAGCCUCUCCAUCUCCAUGAAGUUCGGUGACCUUCAGUUCUCGUUUUGGUUACAUUCAUUUCUCUUCUGAUGAAGGUUUUGUCUUUGAUAUUCGAAGUGAGAAUGGGUUGGUAAUGGCAAGUCACAUCAGAAGUUAAUUUGUCUUGUUGAUAUCUUUUUCUUUUAAUUGGCUUGUUGAACUCAUGUAAAUUGCCUGAAAAUUUAAUUGCAUCUUUCUACUUUGUACUUUUUACUUUGUUUGAACUGCUGCUACAUUUUGGUAUCUGUUUCUUGUGUUCUAUGUUUCAUAAUUUCUAACACUCUAGUAUGGAGCAAAGAUGAGAGCCUUCAAUCCCUGUACCAGCUAAGAGUUGAAGCAUCAUCAAAUGCAUCAGGUCCUUCAUUCUGAAAUGUAAUGUUGCGGCCACAACUCCUAAUGAGGGGAAGUUAAGGUAGUGCUAGGGGUUUAUGUUGAUGUGUUCUACUUUAACCUAGAAAUAAUCUUCUAAGUUCAGCACUGUGUUUCCUUUUCUAUUUCAGUUGUAUUUGUUAAUUGAAAGGAAUGGCCAGUUCUAUACGUGGAUGUUUAACCAGUUAUAAUCUGCCAAAACUUAAAAGUACAAUUGCAGCAAUGCUUACCUUCGUUUUCUGUUUUUGGUUGGAGUUGGUCACAUAGUGAACCCAAUGUUGCAAAUGCUUUUUGGCGACGCAGCCAAAGGAAAGCUGUUGCUGAACAACGGACAACUAGUUCAUGGUUGUUCCUGGUGCAUACAGUGAAUCAGAAGCUGCCAAGGCCUACCCAAAUUGUGAAGCAGUUCCCCGCGAACAAUUCGAAACUGCCUUCAAUGUGCAAACAGGUACUACCAUUAAUGUUGGAAUGACUUCUUGGCACUUGGUGGGGGUGGUAGCUUUGAAUUAUGCUUGGACGGGGAUUUGUUGCAUGGAACAAGUGGGCCUUGGGAGACUUUUGGGAUGUACUUCGCUCAUAAUCCAGAGUUCAAGCUGAAGAAUGUUGAGGUAACGCUAGGUUAAUUACUUACUAUUCCAUCAUCUUUCAGGUCUUCUGAUUCUUUAACGAAGUUUUUACCUGCUUAAGUUUCAAGAGUUCCAUUUUGUCUUUUUUUGUUGUUUCUUUUAGAAAUAGUGUUUCUCAAGGAACUGUUUAUUAUGUAGGGCAUUGGUAACUUAAAAUAUUCUGUUUCUCUAGCUGAUAAUGGAUCCACCUCAAUAGGGUGAUCCUUGCCAUCAUUUACCUGUGGUUUUUUUCUUUUUUUUUUUAGUGUUUGCUAAUCAUUUAUGUUAUCUAUCAUUGGUUUGUUGUAUUUAAAAUUUUCAAGUUUCUUGAUUUGAUUUUAUCUUUCCUCUUAGCUCUUGUACUUGAUUUAUUUGGAGACCAAAUCCAAAUUUUAUUUCAGGUAAUUCAUUGAAAACUCGGAAGUUUGCUGGCUAGUUUCGAAGCUUAGGAUGCAACUGCAUCAAUCAUUUUAUGCAGUUAAAUCCAAGCUGCCCAAAGUUUAUUUCUUGAUCAAAUUUUGGUUUACACGAUAGUUUAAAUUAAUCGUUAUAUUCACUAAGAAGGUGAGAAUUAGCUUAUAGUUUGGAAGAUUUACCUCAUAUGAUUUGUAAGAUUUGAG